GAACAUCCACGUCACUACACUAUUUUUGGUGGACCCCACAGUAUUAUAUUAAGCAUUUUUUGUCAACGAUUGCAAAUGAAUACGUUCCUUUUCUUCAUAAUGGGCCUACUAAAGCAUUUUUAUAGUUUUAAAUGAAUUCGCUCAUUUUCUUUAUAAUGGACCUACUAAAGAUUCUUAUAUAUGAUUAUUGGGCCUAAGAUCCGUUUCUUCAUGUAUUUCUCUCUACUCUCUAACUCAUCUUCUCGAGACAACUGUUUUCUUCGACGCUGCCGUUGUCGAUAAACUUCACCGACGAGAAGCUCAAACAUCAACACCUAAUCACAACUAAGGUUGUUGGUCGGCUACUUCGUUUUUGGGAUGCUCGCAACAUCAAGAAAGAUGGUCAAUUCAUGGGGAUAGUCCUCCUUUUACUCGAUGAAAAAUGCUCAGUAAUCCAUGCUUUUUGAGUAAUUGAAGCUGAGGUACUUUCAGAUACAAAAGAAAAGAAAAAAGUGUUAAUACCCAGGAUUAUACUAUCACCACAAGAUUCUAAGCAUCCAUUCACUCUAAGGAGGCGUCAGUUUCCGGUACGAAUGUGCUAUGCUAUGACGGUUAAUAAAAGCCAAGGACAAACCUUGAAUAGAGUGGCAUUGUAUCUGCCAAAGCCAGUCUUCAGCCACGGCCAACUAUACGUUGCUUUGUCACGUGUCACAUCGCCUAAAGGUCUCACAGUCCUAGACACAAAAAAAAACCGAAGGAAAGUAUGUGACUAACAUAGUCUACAGAGAAGUAUUUAAUGGUCUACCGUCAAUUACAGGUAAAAGAUUUACACCAUCCGUCAAUCUAAUAUAUGCUUUAUAACACCAAAAAAAACAUCUACUUUUUACAUAUAUUGAUAAGAGCACAAAUUAGUGAGAACUGCUUACUGCCUAGGAAGAAAAAAACUGAAAACUAUUUUCAUACUCUUAUGCAGGUUAAUAUAAAGGUAGAGAAAACUAAGAGACAGCCAGAUUGGAAAUCUGAUUUCCAUACACUUAUGCAGGUAAACACCCAACCAUUAGUUAUCCAAAUCAACAAUAUGGUUUAGUCAACACAAAUAUUCGAACAUGCAAACUAAUCACAGUUUCCAAAAUUCUAAUUUUAUUAGGUGAAGAGCAAGAUUUCCAAGAAAAGAAGUGUAAAACGAGAGACAAAGCAGCACUAAAGCUAACUAUUUUUCUAGGCUUAAACAUUUUCUCCAAUAUGUUUGAAAAGAUUCGUUACAAGUUUAACAACCACUAUUUAUGAAUAUAUCAUCCAUGCAAAAUUAUGCAAGUAUCAACAACAUAAUCCACCCAUCUGCCAUUUAUCCCUGAGUUUUAAUCAACAAAUUUUAACAAACAAAACAUGUAAAACUAAAGUUUGUUAUAUACUUCCCACUAUCACAUAGCUACAAGAU